GAUGAACGCUGGCGGCGUGCCUAAUACAUGCAAGUCGAGCGAACAGACGAGGAGCUUGCUCCUCUGACGUUAGCGGCGGACGGGUGAGUAACACGUGGAUAACCUACCUAUAAGACUGGGAUAACUUCGGGAAACCGGAGCUAAUACCGGAUAAUAUUUUGAACCGCAUGGUUCAAUAGUGAAAGACGGUUUUGCUGUCACUUAUAGAUGGAUCCGCGCCGCAUUAGCUAGUUGGUAAGGUAACGGCUUACCAAGGCAACGAUGCGUAGCCGACCUGAGAGGGUGAUCGGCCACACUGGAACUGAGACACGGUCCAGACUCCUACGGGAGGCAGCAGUAGGGAAUCUUCCGCAAUGGGCGAAAGCCUGACGGAGCAACGCCGCGUGAGUGAUGAAGGUCUUCGGAUCGUAAAACUCUGUUAUUAGGGAAGAACAAAUGUGUAAGUAACUGUGCACGUCUUGACGGUACCUAAUCAGAAAGCCACGGCUAACUACGUG
rnacentral:rRNA from 1 species